ensembl:lncRNA
ACUAAACUGACCAAUCAGGAUAGAUAUUUAAAUGACGCAACGUCGUUUGCUUCUGUUCAAAAUGCGGCCUAAAGAGGCACAAGGUGGGUGAAUGAAUAUUUUCUCGUUCCGCGUAUAUAACCGAUCAUCACAACAUCAGGUGAUGUUUUAAUAUACUGUAAGUGCGUCAUCAGGCCUUCAUGUGUUUAAGUCAAGACAACAGGUGAAGAGAAAUUCUGCCAAAAAUAACGACAUACAAAUGAUUGGCCAUAAUGAAGCAGUGGAGGAUGGAGUUCUUUACGCACAGGCCUCCAGUGCUGCUUUGCACUGCUUCUGUGUGUCAGUGUCUUCUGGUUUACUUAUACCUCACAGGAUCGUCUUCAAGCUCUCCGUGCUUCUGCUGUGUGGUCUUGCAGGUCUGUGCGUGGGAUCCUCCCAAAACAAACUCUCUCUCUCUCUCUCACACACACACACACACACACACACACACAUACACAUAGAGUAUCAGGUGUAUCAGUAAAAAUGAGAGCUAUUUAUCUUCAAUUAGUGGAUCACUUGUUUUUACAUUGAUGUUCUCUGCAAAUUAAAAUUUGGCAUCUUGCAUUACUUUUUAUUGAAGAUAAUGAGGAUUUGAAAGAACUAGGCAACAGUAGUCAUCGGGAUUUUAUGGAAGUCCAUUUCUGUCACAUACACUGUAAAGAAAAGGAAUUAUUUUUUCACGGUAUGCGGUAUUAUCACGGUAUUGAAAUUAAGUUUUAAAAAAGUGGUCAUAAUACAGUAUAACAGGUUAAAUAACUUUUUUUCUUAUAACAAAAAUAACUGAACAUUUAAAUAAAGCAAUACAAAAAAUAUAUUUAAAGUUAAAAAUUUUACACCGAUUAAAGUGCAAAAGAACUUUAAAGACCCAUAGGUAUCACUUUACAAUAAGACCUCAUUAGUUAACCUUAGUUAAUGCAUUAACAUUCACAAUGAGCAAGAGCUACAUUUGGUACAGAAGUUACUAAUCUUUGUUAAAAAAUACAAGUCUUAGCUCAUGUUAGCUCAUUAAAUAACACAGUUGCAACUUUCGAUUUUAACAAUGUGUUAUUAAAUAUUGGAAUACCUAAGAUUAAUGAAUGUUCAGAAGAAUUUUUCAUUGGCAGUUUGUUAACUAAUGAAGCCCUAAUGUAAAGUGUUAAUGAACAAUAAAGAAUCAAAACACUUUCAAACAAUAUCUAGGACAUGUUAUAGUCCAGAUUAAAAUGGAAAAAAAAUUAUGGAAAUAUAUAAAUAUUAUUUUAUAUUAUUUAAAUGUUUAGAAAGUAGCAGCUGCUUUUAUUUAUGGGGUUUCCAGGGUAAGGUCUGCAGUUUAGCGCCAUCUGCUGUCAGAGAGUGAAUGUGCUUUCAUUCAGCGCGUCUCUCACGUGUUCCUCCAUGUGCUUCUUGUGCGUGCUUGUUUACAUCAGAGUUCACAAGGGUCUUUAAAGCAGCAUACAAACGGUGUUGUGCAUUUUGACCAGUUGAUGGGAAAAGUAUUCUUAAAAUGCAUUUCAAAUUCUGAAUAAUUUGUAAUAUAUAAUUAUUCUCGGUAUUUGAAAGUGCCCACGAUAACAAUAUCGUGCAUAUUCAUUACCGCGAUAUAUCGCAUUACCGAAUACCGGCACAAGUCUAAUUGAGUAUGUUUUUCAAGAAAAUACUGUUUCAGUCCCUUCCUCAAAAUGUAAAAAAUAAAGCUUUAUUAAUAAAUAAUUUAUUACAUUUCUUUCAAUUAUUUUUUUUCAUUCUGUGUUGAUUUUUAAAUAUUUAGUCCAUAAAUAUGAUUUAUCGAAUUAUUUAUUUAAUUAUUUAUUUCUUUUUUUUUUUUUUGUCAGAAAGGGCCUAUCAUAGGAUUUUGCCGACUACAUACAAAAAAC